AUGUGCUGUGAGCUCGAUGAGUAGGGCGGGACACGUGGUAUCCUGUCUGAAUAUGGGGGGACCAUCCUCCAAGGCUAAAUACUCCUGACUGACCGAUAGUGAACCAGUACCGUGAGGGAAAGGCGAAAAGAACCCCGGCGAGGGGAGUGAAAAAGAACCUGAAACCGUGUACGUACAAGCAGUGGGAGCACCCUUUGGGGUGUGACUGCGUACCUUUUGUAUAAUGGGUCAGCGACUUAUAUUCUGUAGCAAGGUUAACCGAAUAGGGGAGCCGGAGGGAAACCGAGUCUUAAUUGGGCGUUAAGUUGCAGGGUAUAGACCCGAAACCCGGUGAUCUAGCCAUGGGCAGGUUGAAGGUUGGGUAACACUAACUGGAGGACCGAACCGACUAAUGUUGAAAAAUUAGCGGAUGACCUGUGGCUGGGGGUGAAAGGCCAAUCAAACCGGGAGAUAGCUGGUUCUCCCCGAAAGCUAUUUAGGUAGCGCCUCGUGAAUUCAUCUCCGGGGGUAGAGCACUGUUUCGGCUAGGGGGUCAUCCCGACUUACCAACCCGAUGCAAACUGCGAAUACCGGAGAAUGUUAUCACGGGAGACACACGGCGGGUGCUAACGUCCGUCGUGAAGAGGGAAACAACCCAGACCGCCAGCUAAGGUCCCAAAGUCAUGGUUAAGUGGGAAACGAUGUGGGAAGGCCCAGACAGCCAGGAUGUUGGCUUAGAAGCAGCCAUCAUUUAAAGAAAGCGUAAUAGCUCACUGGUCGAGUCGGCCUGCGCGGAAGAUGUAACGGGGCUAAACCAUGCACCGAAGCUGCGGCAGCGACACUCAGGUGUUGUUGGGUAGGGGAGCGUUCUGUAAGCCUGUGAAGGUGGCCUGUGAGGGUUGCUGGAGGUAUCAGAAGUGCGAAUGCUGACAUAAGUAACGAUAAAGCGGGUGAAAAGCCCGCUCGCCGGAAGACCAAGGGUUCCUGUCCAACGUUAAUCGGGGCAGGGUGAGUCGACCCCUAAGGCGAGGCCGAAAGGCGUAGUCGAUGGGAAACGGGUUAAUAUUCCCGUACUUGGUGUUACUGCGAAGGGGGGACGGAGAAGGCUAUGUUGGCCGGGCGACGGUUGUCCCGGUUUAAGCGUGUAGGUGUGUGUUCCAGGUAAAUCCGGUUCACUUUAACACUGAGGCGUGA
rnacentral:rRNA from 2 species